CUACGGGAGGCUCCAGUGGGGAAUCUUGGACAAUGGGCGCAAGCCUGAUCCAGCCAUGCCGCGUGAGUGAAGAAGGCCUUAGGGUCGUAAAGCUCUUUCGCCAGAGAUGAUAAUGACAGUAUCUGGUAAAGAAACCCCGGCUAACUCCGUGCCAGCAGCCGCGGUAAUACGGAGGGGGUUAGCGUUGUUCGGAAUUACUGGGCGUAAAGCGCGCGUAGGCGGAUUAGUCAGUCAGAGGUGAAAUCCCAGGGCUCAACCCUGGAACUGCCUUUGAUACUGCUAGUCUUGAGUUCGAGAGAGGUGAGUGGAAUCCCGAGUGUAGAGGUGAAAUUCGUAGAUAUUCGGAGGAACACCAGUGGCGAAGGCGGCUCACUGGCUCGAUACUGACGCUGAGGUGCGAAAGUGUGGGGAGCAAACAGGAUUAGAUACCCGCGUAGUC
rnacentral:rRNA from 1 species